rnacentral:rRNA from 1 species
AGGGUGUAAACGCUGCAGACUUGGUGUUGGAAGCCCUUUGGGGGCAUUCAGUGCCGGAGAGAAGUUGUUAAGUCUGCUACUUGGGGAGUACGUCCGCAAGGAUGAAACUUAAAGGAAUUGGCGGGGGAGCACCGCAACGGGAGGAGCGUGCGGUUUAAUUGGAUUCAACACCGUAAAACUCACCAGGGAAGACUGUUACAUGAAACCCAGACUAAUGAUCUUGGUUGAUUUUUCAGAGAGGAGGUGCAUGGCGUCAGUGACU